UAAUAAAAGUGAAUUUUAUGGCACUUUUAAAAAAAUCCAUAUCCACCUUGUGUGCAAUGUUUUUUUUUUUUAUAAACUCUUUAAUUUCAAAAAAAAAUUGUCUGAAAACGAUUUAUUCUGAAUUAACUUAAUUCAAAAUA
rnacentral:misc_RNA from 1 species